CCCCCCCCCCCCCCAAAAAAAAAAAAAGAAAAAAAAGUUGGAGUGUAUGUCGUGAAUUAUUUCUCAGAAUAAGAAGUAGAAGAAGAAGAAAUCAAAAGUUGAGGACUGGAGGCUGUUAAUUUUCCCGGGAAAAAGCAGUAAAAGAUAGUACUAUUUUUUUCUUUUUUUCCUCUCUCAAUUAUAGUUUUGUUAUUUUUAAUAAGAUAAUAAUGAAAAAUGCGGUUAUUGCCUCGCUUUAUGAGAUGAAGGCCUUCAGCUUCGGAUUCACUUAUCUGAAGAAGAUGGUGGACCCCUCUGUUUCUGUGUUGUGUGUGUUUCUUUCUCACUUUCUCUCCUCCCAGCAUCUCAUUCUCAUCAUUUUAUAGUCUUUCACUUCUCUCACUUUCGCUUUUU
rnacentral:lncRNA from 1 species